AUUAUUGAAUCUGUUUCAAGGCAAAGAUUUUUUCAAUUUCUUUUAUUAGUAUAUUCGAUAACAAAAAUGAUAUCAUAAAAUUCGAUUUUAAAGGAGGUAUAAACUUCAAUCUCAACUGAAAAAGAUAUCAAGAAUUAUCCCUAAAUAUGCUACCACAAUUUGAUAUUCUAGGAUUUUCUCUUGAAACUUCACCUCUAUUAUGCUUAAUCUAAUCAUGACUAGAAAAUCACCAAUUAAUUUGUAUGAUUCUAGAUGCGGAAGGAUGUCAACAUUUCACGUUUACAACUUUAAUUAUAAAUGAGUUUUGUAUUCUCAUUUAAAAAAAUCUAUUUAUUUGAAAAAUAAAAUAUGAAAUAAAGUUUAUUUUAAAAUAUUAAUUAAUACACAAAAUAACAAAUUUAAUAUGCCGCCUUUUUCAACUCUAUUAAAUUUUUUUAAAAAAAAAUUAACUUUAAAUUUAUCUUAUAUAUAAUAAAGGUUAUAUAAAAAAUAACAAACAAACAGAUAAUAAAUAAGGUUAANAACAAAUUUAAUAUGCCGCCUUUUUCAACUCUAUUAAAUUUUUUUAAAAAAAAAUUAACUUUAAAUUUAUCUUAUAUAUAAUAAAGGUUAUAUAAAAAAUAACAAACAAACAGAUAAUAAAUAAGGUUAAUAUAUUAUUAUUCUUUUAAAUUACAAAAUCAAUCCUCUUAAAAAUAUAGUUACUUUUAAAAGACAGAACAUUUUAUAUGUGAAUUUUUGCAUAAAAAUAUUCACUGAAUCUUUAAAAUAUAAAUAAAUAUUCUUAGCAUUCUUUAAUAAACAAUUCUUUAAAAAAAUUCUAUUUUUUAUUAUUAAAAGUUGUAUUCAAAAUCUAUUGGAUAUUAAAUAUAACUAUUUUUUUAUUCGUGGGUUUUGUAAAUAAUUUCUUUAACAUUUAAAACAAUUUUUUUAUUAGUAAUUAGAAAACAGUUACUAUCCAAUAAGAGAUGAUAAAAGAUUUAUUUUAGUUUAAUCUGAAAUUCUGGUUUGAAUUCUAUUAAAAAUUCUAGGUUUCGAUUUUUAAAAAAAAAACAUCGUUGUUAAAAAUACAAUAAAGUCAAGAAAAACUUUGAACUUAAUUGAUUUUUUUCUACAAGUCUUAUCUUAUCCAAAACUCGAAUAAAUUGGACUAUGGUCCACUUCCUUAUAAAAAUAAAAAUUCCAAUAAAUAGCACCACGUUCAACCAACUCAAACAAGUCAUAAAAUAUCAUUUUCUGACUGUCGGGGACAUAUUACAGUUGGCAUCUUUCUCAUCAUAAUUGAGUUAUAAUACCUUUUGAUCUUCUCCUAGAUCUAAAUCCAUUCAUUUCUAUAUACUAUUUCAGUCGACAAACUUGACCAAAACAUGCCUUAAAUUACCUUCUAACUUCUCACAUUAAUUAUUACUAUAAAUACAAUCCACCUACAUAUCAAAAACACAUUCAUUCACACAACAAUGUCUUUUCCAUUAUUUCUCACUUUAUUACUCUUAUCUUUCUCCACUUUCAUAGCUCAAGCCAUAGUUCCACAAAAUGAAACCUUCAAAUUCGUCAACUCAGGUGAACUAGGACCAUUCAUAGUAGAAUAUGGAGCUGACUACAGAAUGAUAAGCAUAUUCAAUGCUCCAUUCCAAGUUGGUUUUUACAAC
rnacentral:lncRNA from 1 species